rnacentral:lncRNA from 1 species
AAAAUUUAAAGAAUAUUUAACAAAGGGUGAAACUAGAGUCCAAUAAAUAAUUUACCCUUAAUAUAUCGAAAAAGAGAAGGAUUUUGAUGCGUUUAUCUNGUAACCAUGUAGAUUUUGUUCACCUAAUACCAUCCAAUCAAGUGUUAUAGUACAUGAGCAUGACAAGCAAGGUUUCUAUUGCACCGUAGCCAACUGCUUUGUGAGAAUCUAAGUAAACAACAUUACAACUGAAAUUUAAACCUCCCUGCCUUAAUAUGGAAAAUGCAAAUGAACCUCAUAGAAGCAGACAGAUACCAUGGAUACUAAAGCUAAACAAACAACGUUAAGGUUGCACAGCCUCCAAAAGUUUCUCAUAAACUUGUCUAGCAGUCAAAUCCUCCACCUGAAACAGUCAAAUGUGAAAAUAAUUACAAAGGGACAAUCUUAGAGGAGGGAAACAAGAAUAAUUAAAUCACUGGAAUUGAUAUAAUUAUUCAGAAUACAAUCGUUCGGAAAGAAGCCCACAUUCAUAUCAAUCUGAAUGCUUCACACGAAGGUGUACUUGAUAAUAAUGUUAUUCCAUCUGACUCAAUCUCAAACCCAAAACCUAUGCAAAAAGGAAAAACUUCUUUUAACAACACUUUUUUAACAAUUUUUUGACAAUGUGGCAGCUUGUGAUUGGUCCGUUUUAAAUAUUUUUUAAACUUAAGUUCAAAUAGACCAAUAAAAUGAUGACAUGUGUCCCGUUGUCAAAAAAAUUGUCAAAAAAUGUUGUCAAAAUAUCAUUGUCCAUGCAAAAAAUGUGUAGCGGAAAGUUGUCAGUGCUUCAGUUGUCUUCGACCAAAGGGAAAGAUUGAGCAAAGAGACAAAAUAACAUAAAAGGGCCAACAAAAGGUCUUGAGAUUUCAAGGAGGAUUAUGUCUGUAGUCACAUUCUCAGGUUAACUCUUAAACUCUUAUGAAUUUACCUUUUCAGACAUGGUUUCUGAAUUAACUCAGUAGAAUUGAGUGCGAAAUCGGUAGAUUAUGUAGAAUCACGCGUUUGAAAUGAUUCUACGAGCUUGAAAGGAAGAAAAAUUAAAAAAAAACAAUCAUUUGAUUUUUUUUACUAUUUAUUUAAUGAAAUACAUCAAAAGCUUUUACAAUAUUUAUAAAUUUUAUUUAUUUAAAGUUAUAUAAUUUUGUAGAUUUGAAUUAAGAUAUUAUUUAUAUAUUAAGAUUUAUUCGACUCUCAAGAGUUUUGAAGAAAGGUCACCUUUGCAACCAGUUCCCAUGAUCACAUCCCAUGAUCACAGAGUCACUGGACUAAUCUAGUCAUCUAAAACAAAAUAGUGCUUGGUUGGUUACUAACUAUUUUCAUUAACAAGGAAAGCAUAUAUAAAAGUGGCUGAAUCGGAGGUCAUUGCACUGCUCGUGAACCCUAUCAAAGGCCUGAUAUCUCAGUAUAAACAAAGCAUUUGUGUUGUUUCAGGAACAUAUAGUUUCAGCUCAGUUUCUCUCUUUCUCUCAAGUUCACGAGCAUUGUUUUGGCGACCUCCAUUUGCUUCCGCAAGCAUAAGUUUGGGAUGUACUAAUCUAUCCAACUAUGCAAACACCGAGAUGAACACCCAUCCAUGGUGGCACCUGAAGGCCAACCAACUUGCAUCUAUGUUGCUGCUCCAUAAACUCCUACCCUCAACAUGGAGAACAUAUUCUAUUGCAUUUUUAACCAUAUUCUAUCCCAUAUUCAACUUGGGCUACCAAAUAUCUCACCACGACUGCAUAAUCCAUUUCUUCAACACAAUGUGGAUAAUCUAUAUAUAGAUUGAUGUUUAACUAUGUAGUUUUAUUGAAUCCACUAUCACACCUCACCUCAACAACUAACUACCGUAUUAUUUCACCUCAAGAGUUCAAUUCUGUGAUACAUUUUCUUCACAAUUGUUUUUGCAAUCUACCAUUCAACAUUUCUAAAAUUGUAUGAACGUCCUUCAAUCAUGCUUUUUAUCUAAAUAGUGUUUUAAAAUAGGGUUGAAAGUGAAAACACUGGUAUAUUAAAUAAAUUUGUAUUUAAUUAUAUAUUAUGCAUUCAUCUUAUUUAUUAAAUGAGCAGCUUGUAGGGUUGAACUGUGCAAUUCCACAAACCAACCAAUGUCAGGCUGGUUUGCAAAACAGUAUCUUCGACCUGGAAGAUCUGUAGUAUUUGGGGUAAAUUUAGGAUCAAAAGCAUCCAAAAAUCCAAAUGGGCCAUAAUCUCUAUCGUAAGACCCAAAAUACUCAUAUUAUCUGUGUUCAGCACACCAUGAGUGAAACCAACCCCCUGCCAUCUAGCAAUCAAGGAAGCAGUACGCUCAGCAACCUCCACCACCCNNGCUGACCANAAANCACCAUUAAAUAGAAGGGGUACAUAGUCAGCAUUCAAGUUUCAUACGAAAAUAUGAUGAAGACAGCAGUAUAAUCCAGAAGAGAUGAGCUUAACUUUAUUCAAAAAAUUCACGAGUGUGGAUGUUGGGUUAAACUGUGACAUCUCGUUGCCUUAAAAUAUGAAAUUAUUACGUUUAGUACGUUGGCAGGCAGAGAGUUAACUUAUUUAGCUAGCAUCAUGUUCCAACUCGUAUGGUUAUUUUAGUAAUAUAUUAGGUUCUGGUACUUAGGAACUAAUCUAUGAAAGGGAUUCGGCCCAUGUUUGGCAACGUCUUUCUUUUUUGGGAUUUUUUAAAGCUCCCAAGAAAGUGACAACAUAAAAAAAUAAGGAAUUAUUUCACCAUAAUAAGGUCAUUUAAACAAAGUCUUCUGAUUUUUUCCAUAAUUUUGUCAAUUUGCUGUUUAUAUUGCAGCAGUCAGUUUACAUAUCCUAGCUUAUGCUCACAAUUACCUGGUGCAUACAAUUUAAGCAAACUACAAAAUAACCACUCAAAGGUGUUUAUUCAGAUUAAACUUCAAACUGAAUAACCAUGCAUCCUUCAUUAUAUAAAUCUCAAAGGUAAAAUAAAAGUCACCCUUAAUUUUACCAGAAAAAUAAAUAAUACCUGCAUACUUUUUGAAGUAAGGUCUACAACAGAAUGAUCUUCAUCACCAGUGGAGAAAAAGAUAAGCCUUCACUCUUACUCAUGUUUUCAAUGUAAAGACAGUGGUGCUUGAUAGUAUAGUCUGCCAAAACACGGACAAGGCCAAGGUCCUCCUCACCUCUGGAGGCAUGUAUUUGGUAUGACCCUGCAAACAAUUGCACCAGGUUCUUCCUUUGGAUUGCCCCUGCAAACAAUAUUAACAAUUUAUUCAUGUAAUUAAUUUUUAAAAUGUGCAGGAUAAAAAUCCGUAAACCAAAGUAAAUUCCAGUCAUUCAUCACAUAAAACUAAAAUUCAUCUUCAACUCCCACAAACCCCCCUCCCCUCGCUCUCAGCAACCACUACGCAUAGCAUAUGACACUAAAAUGUCAAGAAGUACCAAAAAUGCUAACAUACAGAAUAUUUUCAUUAUAUGUAAAAGACAACAACAAAAAUAGAAGAAAUGUAUGUAAAAGACAAAGAGAAACAGGGUCAUGUGCACCACAUUCAAAAGUAAUGAAGAAAAAUACCACAUGUAAGCUGCCAAUCUUACAGAUCAUCACAAUGAUGAAAUGGAAGCAAAAACAACAACAAAAAAUAGAAGAGUUUCCAACCAUAAUCCAUGCAAUCCAAUGGAAAAAUAGCACAAGCAGUAAAAUAAAAUCAAUAAGGAGACAAGUACAAGUCGUAACAAUUUAAAACACACAGAAAUUCCAGAUCCAAUCAUAAAAAUAAAAUAGUACAUUGUUGAAAAAUACACUGAUACAAUAGCAGAUGUAACCCAAAACUGAAAAGGAAAAUUAUCAAUUUUAAUCAAAGUGAGACUUUCUUCUGCCGAGGUAUAAAUAACGAGUGAACUAUCACAGGAAUUUUCAAAACCCAAGGUUAAGAUUUAGAUGUUGACAGAAAUAACAUUAGUACAAAAACAAAUUUCCUACAAUUUGUAACUCACUUUAACAUCGAUGGUCACAUGCAAAGUGAUGAUUCCAUAUUACGUCAGUUAUAUAAUUGAAACAAAAGUAUCCACAUAAAAAGUAAAAAACAAAAUUAAAAAUAUACAAAAAGCAGAUGAAGAGAAAAUCAAAGAAGCACUUGAAACCAAAUUGAACAAUCACCUUAUCCUCAGGCUCUUUUUCUUCAUCCUCAUUAGCAGGAUUCUCCUUGUUUCCAUCAGCAGCAACAUCAUUAUUAUCACCAGAAGGCUUUUCUUCGCCAAAAUUCUUAGCAGUUUCAUUUACAUCAUCAGUUGCCCUAAGUAAAAUUCAAAAGAGGAAAAGAAACAAGCAUCAAUAAAAAUUCAUCAAAAUAGUAUUAAGCAGAAAUCAUGAGCAGAGGGGUCUCAAAAGAAGCGCUUACUGGGCAAGUUCAUCAGUUGGUAGUCCCCAGUUCCCUCUCCCACUGCGACGUUCAUAGACUCGUCGUGGUUGCCCAUCUUCACCAGCUUCCCCAUCACCAAAACCUCCACGUCCCCCACGAUAAGGACCGCGAGGCCCACCAUAGCCAGACCUUUCUUAGGACCUCCCACUCUCUCCAUCAAGAGCACCUUGACCAGAACGAGGGAGCAAAUGAAAUGGAUGUUAUAUUUAUAACCAUGGAAAAAAGGACCGUUGCAAAAUUCGAACGUUGCCAACGUUAUAAAAGCAACGGUCCAAAACAAUGUAAUAUAAUAUUUAAAUUUAUGAACGUUGCACAACUUUUCUGUUUAUGGGAAAUUGUAGCUGAUAUGGGCUGCGAUGUCCAUAGCUGAACAGCCUGAGGGUUUUUCAGCACAAGCCCACUACUGUUACUGAGGUCUAGUGUGGAGCCUUUAGGAGCAUACCAAAUGAAAGAAAAAUAAUUUUAUUAGUAUUUUAAUUCAUUUGUUUAGCUUAAAGUACUAAUAUAUACUGUUAUAUUAUUAACAUCAAGUUGUAAGUAUUCAUAUAAAUUUUCUUUAUAGUAUGGGCACCCAGGACCAAUACUCAAAUUUAAAAACCACACAAAAUUAAUCUUUUAUAAAAUUCAAACAUGUAUGUAUGUGUAAUAACAUAAUUCAACAAUAUAUUUGGAAAAUAUGAAGUUGGGAAUUGAAGUUGGGAGUUAUAUUAAAAUGAACAUCCCGUUGAAAGGAAAAUAAAUUGAUUAAUAAUGUAUUUUUUAUGAGGUUCCAAAAAUGUUUAAUUAAUUUUUAAUGAUGUCUUUACUGUCUUAAAGAUGUUAGAAAUAUUAAGAUAUUAACGGAUUAUAUCAAAAUUAUAAUCGAUUGAAAAUAACAGUAAUAUAUAUAUAUAUAUAUAUAUAUAUAUAUAUAUAUAUAUAUAUAUAUAUAUAUAUAUAUAAAUGAAUGUUGUCUUCAUCUCGCAGUGUAAGAGUGCAAUUUAAAACUUUAAUUAGUUAAACAUGAAAGAUCAAGAAACAUUCUUGGAAAGCAAAAGAUCUUAAUAUGUGAAAAUAAAAAUCAAAAACUCUUCAAGAAUGGUUGAAUGUAGAUAAAUGGUAAUUUAAUUUUAUUAUGUAUACUUACAGUGAAAAAAAGUUAAGAGUGAUGGUGUAAAACCUCAUCUUAAAAAGUCACUCUUGAAGAUGGAAUGUAGACUCAACCAGUAUUGAAUCUUGUUUUACUUUCUUUACUUGGUUUUCAAGUCUGUAAAAAGAUUGAAAAUGUUCAUUUAAAAAUGCUAAAAGAAAGUAAAGAUAAAAAAUUUUAAUCCAACUCAUCCAAUCGAGAUCUAUUGAUUUUAACCAUUCUACCCUACCCUAAGUUUAGUUCCUAACUAAAUACUAAUCAUGAAAACAAACAAUAUCUUUUGUUAACUGUUGUAAAUAUUGUGUUGUUUGAUCAAUUAUAAUCAAUAAAGAAUGUUAUUUCAAUUAAUUUUAAUCAUAAACAAUAAGUAAUUGAUAUUAAUUAUAAUAUCAUUUUAUAUUAAAUAUGUAUUAAUGUAAGAGAAGUAAUUAAAAUAACAAGGUAAAAUAACAAUUACAUCAUCUAAGUAAAAUACCAACAAAAUUAUAUAAUUAAUUAAAAAUAUAAAAGUUUUCAAAUACUCAAUAAAUUAAAAAUUAUUAUUAUAAACUCAAUUAAAAGAUUUGAAACUUAUAAAAACGGUAAACUUAAAGAAUCUGACUGCGACAAGCUCAAAAUACAAACGCUUUUUAGGUAAUAGUUAUUUUAAAAAUCAAUUUUAAAACAAUUUCUAAUUAUUAGUAAAUAAUAUGAAAAUUACGCAGAUAACAUAUCAAAACUAAAUUUGAACAGUUCUCCUAUACCAUACAUUAAUAUUUUACAACGUUAAGAAAAAAAUGAAGUGACACAAAAUUUAAAGAAUAUUUAACAAAGGGUGAAACUAGAGUCCAAUAAAUAAUUUACCCUUAAUAUAUCGAAAAAGAGAAGGAUUUUGAUGCGUUUCUCUCGUAACCAUGUAGAUUUUGUUCACCUAAUACCAUCCAAUCAAGUGUUAUAGUACAUGAGCAUGACAAGCAAGGUUUCUAUUGCACCGUAGCCAACUGCUUUGUUGAGAAUCUAAGUAAACAACAUUACACUGAAAUUUAAACCUCCCUGCCUUAAUAUGGAAAAUGCAAAUGAACCUCAUAGAAGCAGACAGAUACCAUGGAUACUAAAGCUAAACAAACAACGUUAAGGUUGCACAGCCUCCAAAAGUUUCUCAUAAACUUGUCUAGCAGUCAAAUCCUCCACCUGAAACAGUCAAAUGUGAAAAUAAUUACAAAGGGACAAUCUUAGAGGAGGGAAACAAGAAUAAUUAAAUCACUGGAAUUGAUAUGAUUAUUCAGAAUACAAUCGUUCGGAAAGAAGCCCACAUUCAUAUCAAUGUGAAUGCUUCACACGAAGGUGUACUUGAUAAUAAUGUAACUAACCACAAGGAGCUUUGAUUUGUUAUUCCAUCCUCUCUGAAGAGUCAUCUGACUCAAUCUCAAACCCAAAACCUAUGUAAAAAAUGUGUAGCGGAAAGUUGUCAGUGCUACAGUUGUCUUCUGACCAAAGGGAAAGAUAGAGCAAAGAGACAAAAUAACAUAAAAAGGGCCAACAAAAAGUCCUGAGAGUUCAAGGAGAUCAUGUGUAGUGUAGACAAUAAUGGGCAGCCCUGAAGAAAGGUCACCUUUGCAACCAGAUCCCGUGACCACAGAGUCACAAGGUAACAACCAAAACUCACCCAAUAAAAAGA